AUACGUAGGGUGCAAGCGUUAAUCGGAAUUACUGGGCGUAAAGCGUGCGCAGGCGGUUUUGUAAGAAAGUGGUGAAAUCCCCGGGCUCAACCUGGGAAAUGACAUUGUGACUGCAAGGCUGGAGUGCGGCAGAGGGGGAUGGAAUUUCGCGUGUAGCAGUGAAAUGCGUAGAUAUGCGGAGGAUCACCUAUGGCGAAGGCACUCACCUGCUCCUGCACUGACGCUCAUGCACCACAGCUUGAGUAGCUUACAGGAUUAGAUACCCUUGUAGUGGACGCCCUAAACGAUUUCAACUGGUUGUUGGAGAUUUAUUUUCUCAUUAACGAAGCUAAAGUGUUAAGUUGACCGCCUGGCGAGUACGGCCUCAAGGUUAAGGCUCAAAUGAAUUUACUGGU
rnacentral:rRNA from 1 species